rnacentral:rRNA from 1 species
UGCCGGCGAGUGGCGAACGGGUGAGUAAUACAUCGGAACGUGUCCUUAAGUGGGGAAUAACGCAUCGAAAGAUGUGCUAAUACCGCAUAUCUCUGAGGAGAAAAGCAGGGGAUCGCAAGACCUUGCGCUAAAGGAGCGGCCGAUGUCUGAUUAGCUAGUUGGUGGGGUAAAGGCUUACCAAGGCAACGAUCAGUAGUUGGUCUGAGAGGACGGCCAACCACACUGGGACUGAGACACGGCCCAGACUCCUACGGGAGGCAGCAGUGGGGAAUUUUGGACAAUGGGCGAAAGCCUGAUCCAGCCAUGCCGCGUGAGUGAAGAAGGCCUUCGGGUUGUAAANCUCUUUUAGUCGGAAAGAAAGAGUUGCAAUGAAUAAUUGUGAUUUAUGACGGUACCGACANAAAAAGCACCGGCUAACUACGUGCCAGCAGCCGCGGUAAUACCUA